rnacentral:rRNA from 1 species
CCUACGGGUGGCAGCAGUAGGGAAUCUUCGGCAAUGGACGGAAGUCUGACCGAGCAACGCCGCGUGAGUGAAGAAGGUUUUCGGAUCGUAAAACUCCGUUGGUAGAGAAGAACGUUGGUGAGAGUGGAAAGCUCAUCAAGUGACGGUAACUACCCAGAAAGGGACGGCUAACUACGUGCCAGCAGCCGCGGUAAUACGUAGGUCCCGAGCGUUGUCCGGAUUUAUUGGGCGUAAAGCGAGCGCAGGUGGUUUAUUAAGUCUGGUGUAAAAGGCAGUGGCUCAACCAUUGUAUGCAUUGGAAACUGGUAGACUUGAGUGCAGGAGAGGGGAGUGGAAUUCCAUGUGUAGCGGUGAAAUGCGUAGGUAUAUGGAGGAACACCGGUGGCGAAAGCGGCUCUCUGGCCUGUAACUGACACUGAGGCUCGAAAGUGUGGGGAGCAAACAGGAUUAGAUACCCUUGUAGUC